rnacentral:rRNA from 1 species
UGCGUAGGCGGCUGAUUAAGUCGGAUGUGAAAUCCCUGAGCUUAACUUAGGAAUUGCAUUCGAUACUGGUCAGCUAGAGUAUGGGAGAGGAUGGUAGAAUUCCAGGUGUAGCGGUGAAAUGCGUAGAGAUCUGGAGGAAUACCGAUGGCGAAGGCAGCCAUCUGGCCUAAUACUGACGCUGAGGUACGAAAGCAUGGGUAGCAAACA